UUAUUUCUUUCUUUCUCCCCACCACAUACCGGCUUCGACAGAUUCAUUGAGAUUUGAGACUGCUGUUUGUUUCCCGGGAAAAUUUCUGAGCCACGUCACCGUCAUCAUCAUCCUCAAUCCCUUCUUGGCCUUAUGGCUGCUGCUGCUUCUUCCUCCUCCUGGGUUCAACAACUCAGUUUGCUUGACUGGCACCAAGAGUCCUACCCUGCAUUUAACGAUUUCUCCGCUGUUCCCUUCUUCGCUCUCUUAUUCCCCUCUGUUCGCUUCUUCCUCGACCGUUUCGUUUUCGAGAAAGUGGCCAGACGAUUGAUUUUCGGAAAGGGGCAUGAGAAACUGGAUCUUCAAACAGAUGAGAGAAGAAAGAAGAUUAGGAAAUUUAAGGAAUCAGCAUGGAAAUGUGUAUAUUUUCUAUCAGCUGAAAUUUUUGCUUUGUCUGUAACUUACAAUGAGCCUUGGUUUACCAAUACAAUAUAUUUUUGGAUUGGGCCGGGAAAUCAAAUCUGGCCAGAUCAAAAGAUUAAGUUGAAACUGAAGGGGCUCUAUAUGUAUGGUGCUGGAUUUUAUGCUUACUCCAUACUCGCUUUAAUAUUUUGGGAAACUAAGCGCUCUGACUUUGGGCUGUCAAUGACCCAUCAUGUUGCUUCUCUGGCUCUCAUUGUGCUAUCUUAUAUGUUUAGGUUUGUUCGUGUUGGAUCAGUAGUUUUGGCUCUUCAUGAUGCUACUGAUGUGUUUCUGGAGACAGGAAAAAUGUCCAAAUACAGUGGGGCUGAGACAAUGGCUAGCAUUGCAUUUCUCCUUUUUGUUAUCUUUUGGACGUUAUUGCGCAUCAUUUACUAUCCAUUUUGGGUUCUUUGGAGUACAAGGUUUGGUUCUGGACUCCAAUAAUGGUUUUCAGUUACUCCAAUUUGAAAACUGUCGAGCAUAUGUGAGUAAAUGGUCAAAUUGGUCUCUGAAAGAUCACGCGAUCUCCAUUUUGGUCCCCGAAAGAUUUUUUUAAUCAAUUUCAUCUCUAAAAGAUUUUAAAUUAGUCACAUUAAUUCUUCCGUCACUACCCUCACUAGAGCCAUUAGCGAAAGCUGACCUGGCACGUUAAAUCACACCUCACCAUAUAAAACAAUAAAUUCGAUUACUACGACAAUGACAAUGAAGACUUUGAGGACGAUGAUGUCGUUUUGGGAGGGUUAAUGAAUACUACGACGACGACGAAGAAGACGAAGAAGGUGGGGAUGAGGAGGGAAUGAUGCCGUUUGAGAAGAUGAGGAAGUGGUUGAAGCACAAACCCAGAGGGUUCGGUGAAAGGGAAGUGUAACACUUCCAUUGAAGACAAGUUGCUCGACGAACUGCAUCAGAGCAGAGAAGUACAGGCUGCUACCUUGAUAAAGCUCAAGAGCGGUGUUGUUAACCCCAAAAACAGUGAAGAAAAGAAGAAAGAUUUAAUUACUUUUGAACACUGGUCGAAUUGUAUUCCACAGAUUGAUUGCUUUUGUGCUAUUGUUCACUUGUUUGUGUUUCAUGUUACUAUGUUUGGUGAAAUAAUACAUGCAUUUUAACUUUUAAGCAAAUUCUGAUGUUUUCUUAAUUUUUCUUCUUAUCCUGAAUUCUUUAAUCUUUGAUGGAAGUGCAGAUUUUAUGGAGCCUGAAAAGAAUAUGGUCAAAGGAAAAUGCUAGGAUCUAGUGUUGUUUAUAUUUUGUUGAUGUUGUUGUUGUUUGUUUGUGCUUGGCAUUUGCAUGAAACAGGGCAUUGUUUUUGGCCACUGUUUACUUCUUUUUUCUGCGGUGUCUACAAUUUGGCAGUUGACUAUUACUGUUGCCAUGAAAUUUUGAAGACACUCUAGUUGUUCCGAUUGGUGGUUGAGUAUGGUUGGUGAACCUGCCGAAAAAGAAGAACAUUCAUAGGGAUCUGAAAUCUGCAUUCAAAGGGAUUCCAGGCAUAGUGAAUAUAGUCCCGGCAGUUAGUUCGAAAACAAUGACGUUGUCGGAUUGUACUAUAGGUCACCGUUCAACACUACUUCUUUGUGGAGAAACAGGGGGAGGUUUUGCUCCGAGAGAACGAAGAAUGGAAUGGAAUGAAUGAGUGUGAGGAACUGAAGAGGUGCAGUGAGUGACAAAUGCACUUUGGGCGAUAACGACGCCGUUUAGCUAUGAAGUUAUUUCUGUAUUCGAUAAGGAGAAGCACCAGAUGGAUGGGCCAAUAUAUUAUUAUGUGUUCAAUACUCUACUCUUCUGUUUGCUUGUUCUAAAUAUUUAUUGGUGGGUUCUGAUGCUUCGGAUGCUUGCUGAUCAAAUCCGAGCAAAAGGAAAAGUUAGUGAAGAUAUUCGCUCUGAUUCUGAAGAUGAUGAUGAUUACAAUGACCAUGAAGAAUGACCAGGAAUAC